AUCUUUUUGAAUAUCAACCAGGUUCACACGUAUGCAUGUACAUAUACCUUGCAUGGCAGUGUACACAAUGGACCUGUUCAUGCAAUACACGGAAGCCAUUGCACUGCGUUCCGCCUACAACGGAUUUUGGAUACAACGAACAAUUCUACUUGGUCCCGUGGAUUUCGUAAUAACGAGAGUCGAUUGUACAAUGUAUGGUACCAGUUGAACUAGAUAAAUCCUCCCCCACUAAUCUAAGGUUCACGUUUUCAUUUUACUUCAGAUUGCACGUACUCUUGGGACAACAUUCACAACGUGUUCCACAACACGGCAGCAUCAAGCUUUCCUGUCUCUUCAGUCGGAGUCACAGGGGGAAAUUGGACUCGGUGGGAUAUUUUGAGCCUUGGUAAUACCAGGCUCAAGUGUAUGAUUCUUCUGCCCAGCAAAGUACUUGUGAAUGUCCUGACGCUGACACCAUAGGGCACCUGUUGGAAUCAAGACACAUCACUGAAGUGCAGUCUGCAAGUUGAGGGUAACAGCUAGAUUUGUGGAAAACUUUUGGAAGGGGCAUUGAAGUCUGGAAUUUCGUCCAUUGACUAGAUGUUCCAAACCAUCCAUCAUUCAGGCCUGCCGUUUAUGAAGGUACUCGUAUGUUGGGUAAAAGAACGUCAGCAAGGUGGAAGAGGUUCCUCUCUACUCUGAUAUGUUGCGGGCCGUCCCUUCACAAACCUAGGCAGCACAGACAGGGUGCUACAAAGCUCAAAGAUUAGAUGUGUAGAAAAAGUGUACAGAUUAGUUUGAGAUGGUAAACGUAGUUUCAGGGUUUUUUAUUUUGUUCGAAAGAGUUUCAGGGGCCAUUUGAAGUUUUUGAUGCUUUUUAAUUUCGAUUUUUGAUCAAAAUUGUCUUGACCCACCCACCACCCAACCCUGAUUUCAACUUUAAACAACAGAUUUGUUUCGUUGAGUAUUAUACUGCGUUGGACUGCAGUCCUGCACAUAAAAAUUCUUGUUACAGUGCCUGCGAUAUAAUCUUCGUCCAGACAUGAAAGCCCUUUUUCACAUCCUUGGCUGUUCUCCCAUUGACUGUUUACAUUUAACAUUGGUUGGAACACUCUCAUUUACAGCACACCCCAGAUAAAAGAGGCAAAACGUUGAUGUGACUUUUUUUUUAUGUGUGUAUAAUGCGCUGGUGCGUCUGGAAUGGUUUGCCUUUAUUGAACGGCCCAGUAAUGCUGCUGAAAAUACGCAGUCUGAAACCCAACAUGAAUGAACACAACUGGUACCCUGCUGAUGACUGGCUAUAAGGUCUAUUAAAAACCACAGUCACCCAUAGUUCACACGGUGUAUGAUGUAUAGGUCAUUCAAUCCGUUAAUGGAAGAUCGCACUGGCGCGGUGUGUAGUGAAAGCCAAAAGAACUAUUUGUCUUUCUUUUCUUCUGGAAAAAUGAAAUUCUAUUAUUUACCCUGACCCAACCACAGUUUCAAAAGACAAAAUCAAAAUUAAAACACAUUGGAAAUUUCGAAUGGCCCCUUAGACUUUUUGUUAGGAAUAAGGAAUAGAUGUUUUUAGUUGAAAAUUUUUUUACACAGAAUAAUACAAUUUGUAGGUUUUCGAUCAAGGGUGUAUUUUUGCCUCAUAAAAAGAUAUCAAGCAUAUCGUAAAGCACUCCUUCCAGAUGUAAACUCCAAACAAUUAUUGAACUCUUAAUUUCUGAAGGAAACUGGAAUAAUGAAUUGACCCUAACCCUCUCGGGUGUAUGUAAAAUUGUAUUAAAAUUGGAGGAUUUGGGACUGUUAGGGUUAAUAUUGUACAAUUUUACUGCUUUCAAUUUGCUUUAUGCAAUGUCAGAUUUUUAUGCUUUAUUUUUUCAAAUUGUGGGAGUUUUAUCAUAAAUGAACAUCACAGACAAGAUGGGCAUAGAAGAGACAAAAGUAAACAAUCCGUUUGGUCAAAACCUGUUUCUGUAAAUUUCUUAUUCAAAGAAGCAGGUACCUGUAUUGCCCAUCAUAGCAAGAUUUAAUAAGAGGCAUACUACCAAAAUUUGUCAGAUGUUCUGUUAAAAAUUUAAAAAAUUCAGGACCUGACGUUUUUAAUCCUAGCAAAAUCUUUCUCCAAGUUAUUUG